rnacentral:rRNA from 1 species
GAUGAACGCUGGCGGCGUGCCUAAUACAUGCAAGUCGAGCGAACAGACGAGGAGCUUGUUCCUCUGACGUUAGCGGCGGACGGGUGAGUAACACGUGGAUAACCUACCUAUAAUACUGGGAUAACAUCGGGAAACCGGAGCUAAUACCGGAUAAUAUAUUGAACCGCAUGGUUCAAUAGUGAAAGACGGUUUUGCUGUCACUUAUAGAUGGAUCCGCGCCGCAUUAGCUAGUUGGUAAGGUAACGGCUUACCAAGGCAACGAUGCGUAGCCGACCUGAGAGGGUGAUCGGCCACACUGGAACUGAGACACGGUCCAGACUCCUACGGGAGGCAGCAGUAGGGAAUCUUCCGCAAUGGGCGAAAGCCUGACGGAGCAACGCCGCGUGAGUGAUGAAGGUCUUCGGAUCGUAAAACUCUGUUAUUAGGGAAGAAAAAAUGUGUAAGUAACUAUGCACGUCUUGACGGUACCUAAUCAGAAAGCCACGGCUAACUACGUG